GAGGAAAGAGGGAGGCGUGCCUAAUACAUGCCAGUCGAGCGAACGGACGAGAAGCUUGCUUUUCUGAUGUUAGCGGCGGACGGGUGAGUAACACGUGGAUAACCUACCUAUAAGACUGGGAUAACUUCGGGAAACCGGAGCUAAUACCGGAUAAUAUUUUGAACCGCAUGGUUCAAAAGUGAAAGACGGUCUUGCUGUCACUUAUAGAUGGAUCCGCGCUGCAUUAGCUAGUUGGUAAGGUAACGGCUUACCAAGGCAACGAUGCAUAGCCGACCUGAGAGGGUGAUCGGCCACACUGGAACUGAGACACGGUCCAGACUCCUACGGGAGGCAGCAGUAGGGAAUCUUCCGCAAUGGGCGAAAGCCUGACGGAGCAACGCCGCGUGAGUGAUGAAGGUCUUCGGAUCGUAAAACUCUGUUAUUAGGGAAGAACAUAUGUGUAAGUAACUGUGCACAUCUUGACGGUACCUAAUCAGAAAGCCACGGCUAACUACGUG
rnacentral:rRNA from 1 species